rnacentral:rRNA from 1 species
CUGAGUACGGCGGAACACGUGAAAUUCCGUCGGAAUCCGGGAGGACCAUCUCCCAAGGCUAAAUACUCCCUAGUGACCGAUAGUGAACCAGUACCGUGAGGGAAAGGUGAAAAGCACCCCGGAAGGGGAGUGAAACAGUUCCUGAAACCGUGUGCCUACAAGUAGUUAGAGCCCGUUAAUGGGUGAUAGCGUGCCUUUUGUAGAAUGAACCGGCGAGUUACGAUUUGUUGCAAGGUUAAGCGGAAAAAGCGGAGCCGUAGCGAAAGCGAGUCUGAAUAGGGCGCAUAAGUAACAGGUCGUAGACCCGAAACCAGGUGAUCUACCCAUGUCCAGGAUGAAGGUAAGGUAAUACUUACUGGAGGUCCGAACCCACGCACGUUGAAAAGUGCGGGGAUGAGGUGUGGGUAGCGGAGAAAUUCCAAUCGAACUUGGAGAUAGCUGGUUCUCUCCGAAAUAGCUUUAGGGCUAGCCUCGAGGUAAAGAGUCAUGGAGGUAGAGCACUGUUUGGACUAGGGGCCCUUCUCGGGUUACCGAAUUCAGAUAAACUCCGAAUGCCAUGUACUUAUACUCGGGAGUCAGACUGCGAGUGAUAAGAUCCGUAGUCGAAAGGGAAACAGCCCAGACCACCAGUUAAGGUCCCCAAAUAUAUGUUAAGUGGAAAAGGAUGUGGGGUUGCUUAGACAACCAGGAUGUUGGCUUAGAAGCAGCCACCAUUGAAAGAGUGCGUAAUAGCUCACUGGUCGAGUGACCCCGCGCCGAAAAUGUACCGGGGCUAAACAUAUUACCGAAACUGUGGAUGAACCUCUUUAGAGGUUCGUGGUAGGAGAGCGUUCUAAGGGCGGUGAAGUCAGACCGGAAGGACUGGUGGAGCGCUUAGAAGUGAGAAUGCCGGUAUGAGUAGCGAAAGAAGGGUGAGAAUCCCUUCCACCGAAUAUCUAAGGUUUCCUGAGGAAGGCUCGUCCGCUCAGGGUUAGUCGGGACCUAAGCCGAGGCCGAUAGGCGUAGGCGAUGGACAACAGGUAGAGAUUCCUGUACCAGUGCUAAUUGUUUAACCGAUGGGGUGACACAGAAGGAUAGGGAAUCGCACGAAUGGAAAUGUGCGUCCAAGCAGUGAGUGUGAGAAGUAGGCAAAUCCGCUUCUCGCGAAGCAUGAGCUGUGAUGGGGAAGGAAAUUAAGUACGGAAGUUCCUGAUUUCACGCUGUCAAGAAAAGCCUCUAGGAAGAGUAGUACUGCCCGUACCGCAAACCGACACAGGUAGAUGAGGAGAGAAUCCUAAGGUGAGCGAGAGAACUCUCGUUAAGGAACUCGGCAAAAUGACCCCGUAACUUCGGGAGAAGGGGUGCUCUAUUAGGGUGCAAGCCCGAGAGAGCCGCAGUGAAUAGGCCCAGGCGACUGUUUAGCAAAAACACAGGUCUCUGCAAAACCGUAAGGUGACGUAUAGGGGCUGACGCCUGCCCGGUGCUGGAAGGUUAAGAGGAGUGCUUAGCUUCGGCGAAGGUACGAAUUGAAGCCCCAGUAAACGGCGGCCGUAACUAUAACGGUCCUAAGGUAGCGAAAUUCCUUGUCGGGUAAGUUCCGACCCGCACGAAAGGCGCAACGAUCUGGGCACUGUCUCAACGAGAGACUCGGUGAAAUUAUAGUACCUGUGAAGAUGCAGGUUACCCGCGACAGGACGGAAAGACCCCGUGGAGCUUUACUGCAACCUGAUAUGGAAUGUUUGUACCGCUUGUACAGGA